rnacentral:rRNA from 1 species
CGCGAGUUUGAACCAGCCAGCCGCGUGAAAGAUUAGGCCCUACGGGUCGUAAACUUCUUUGUCAGGGAACAAAGUGGGGACGUGCCCCAUCUGCGUGUACUUGAAGAAAAAGCAUCGGCUAACUCCGUGCCAGCAGCCGCGGUAAUACGGAGGAUGCGAGCGUUAUCCGGAUUAUUGGGUUUUAAAGGGUGCGCAGGCGGUCUGUUAAGUCAGCGGUAAAAGCCCGGGGCUCAACCCCGGCGAGCCGUUGAAACUGGCGGACUAGAGAGGAAGAGAAGUAGGCGGAAUGCGCGGUGUAGCGGUGAAAUGCUUAGAUAUCGCGCAGAACUCCGAUUGCGAAGGCAGCCUACCGGCUUCUGUCUGACGCUCAGGCACGAAAGCGUGGGUAUCGAACAGGAUUAGAUACCCUGGUAGUCCACGCAGUAAACGAUGAAUGCCGGCUGUCCGGCCCGACUGGGGGCUGGGUGGCGAAGCGAAAGCGAUAAGCAUUCCACCUGGGGAGUACGCCGGCAACGGUGAAACUCAAAGGAAUUGACGGGGGCCCGCACAAGCGGAGGAACAUGUGGUUUAAUUCGAUGAUACGCGAGGAACCUUACCCGGGCUCAAACGGCGGAUGACAGGUGCAGAGACGCACCCUCCCACGGGCAUCCACCGAGGUGCUGCAUGGUUGUCGUCAGCUCGUGCCGUGAGGUGUCGGCUUAAGUGCCAUAACGAGCGCAACCCCUGCCGACAGUUGCUAACGGAUAAUGCCGAGGACUCUGUCGGGACUGCCGGCGCAAGCCGUGAGGAAGGCGGGGAUGACGUCAAAUCAGCACGGCCCUUACGUCCGGGGCGACACACGUGUUACAAUGGCCGGUACAGCGGGAAGCCAGGCGGCGACGCCGAGCGGAACCCGAAAACCGGUCUCAGUUCGGAUCGGAGUCUGCAACCCGACUCCGUGAAGCUGGAUUCGCUUGUAAUCGCGCAUCAGCCAUGGCGCGGUGAAUACGUUCCCGGUCCUUGUACACACCCGCCCGUCAAGGGCGAAUUCGCGGCCGCUAAAUCAAUCGCCCUAUCCCCCCCA